UACAGAGGGGGCAAGCGUUGUUCGGAAUUACUGGGCGUAAAGGGCGCGUAGGCGGCCUUCUAAGUCGAACGUGAAAUCCCCGGGCUCAACCCGGGAACUGCGUCCGAUACUGGAAGGCUUGAAUCCGGGAGAGGGAUGCGGAAUUCCAGGUGAGCGGUGAAAUGCGUGAGGAUAUCUGGAGGAACACCGGUGGCGAAGGCGGCCAAGUCCUGGGACCGGCAUUGGACGCUGA
rnacentral:rRNA from 1 species